UUUUAUAAUGAUGAACUUUAACAACAUCUGGUUGCAAUAACUUCCCGCACUUGCAUUUCAUACAAGGACACCUAAUGUCACGAUCCGGAUUUACCCACCAUCGGGAGUCGUAGUGGCGCCUACUAUCGAAGCUAGGCAAUCCAACCUUUAUAAUUAUUUUCACAAUUUAUAUCUAAAACACUUAAAUACUAGAACAAUUAAUUAAAGCAUGCGGAAGUCUUUUAAUAACAAUAAUAAAAAAAAUAAGAUGCGAAAACGAACAACCUGUCUCUACCCAGUAUCUGGUGUCACUGCUCACGGACAACUAAAGAAUACUAAAAAUUAAUAGUUUGAAAGAAAAUACAACUGGAGUCUGUUUGAUACGAAUAUAAAAAACUAGAAAAGAUAGAGGACACUCGGGCCACGCGAACGCCAGCGAACUACCUCGGAGCCUCUGGACUGAAGGAUCACUCCCGGUCUAAAGCUGUGGUCCGUAAACUAGGUCCUGACCUGUGAACAAAAAGGAACAGAAGCGUAGUAUCAGCACAACCGACCCCGUGUGGUGGUAAGUGUCCGGCCUAACCUCGGUGAGGUAGUGACGCAACUAACCGGACCUACCAUAAACAACCUGUACAUAUAUAUAUAAAAAGGGAAGGGGACAUAUGGGGGGAGUAACAGUUUUAUUAUAACUUCUACAAUCAAGAGAUGAAACUGAAUAAAUAAUAACUAAACAAGAAAGCCGAUGAAUCGACGGCUGCACGGAAUCACCCUUCGUGUUUUUACUCUCAUUCCUUACCAAAAUAGUCAAAUAUAAUGCACGGCAUCAUUCAAUUAUAAUUUCUACAAUCAAGAGAUGGAACUAAAUAAAUCAUACUUAAACAAGAAAGAGAAUGAAUCAACAGCUGCACGGCAUCACCCUUCGUGCAUUUACUCUCAUUUCUCACCAGGAAUAUCAAUUACAAGGCACAACCUCACCCUUUGUGCUUUUACUCUCGAUAAACAGUGCACGGCAUCACCCUUCGUGCUUUUACUCUCUCUUCGUCUCCCAAACAAUGGUCACAGCCAAACAGGAACAAGGAAAUAUAUAUCUAUCAAGACAGAAUAUCCCGGCAAGGCAGAACAAUACAACAAGUGAUCCCGACAAGGGAAAUACAACUCAACAAUAUGUCCCAACAAGGGAAUACAACUCAACCAAUGGUCCCGGCAAGGGAAAAGUACCAAAUUCCUUUUUAGUUCAUUUAAUUCUCAACUUUCACUUCAUGGUUCUUGUAACAAGUAAUUAUUACAAUUUAUCACUUAUUCACAAUUUAAUAGCAAAUAUGACAUCACGGUCAUGCUUGACUCGGGCACAUAGGUAACCGUCACCAUACCUAAACACUGACGCCACAUAGGACAUAACAAAUCCUAUUCCCUUAAACCAAAGUUAGAUCGAACACUUACCUCGAAGGCUUGCAACUCAAAUCACGCCUCUAGAAUAUUUUUACCACUCGAAUUUGCUUCAAACCAGUCGAAUCUAACCACAUUUCACUCAAAUGUAUCAACAAAUGUUAGUUAAAUUAAUUUGGAUGCAUAAGAAUGAAAUUUCCAAAGAUUUACUCAAAAUUUCCAAAAAUGCCCCCCGGACCCACGUGGUCAAAACUCGAGGUUCGAACAAAAAUCGGGUUACCCAUUCCCCCACGAGCUCAUAUCUAUAACUAGAAUUGAAAUCGGAAUUCAAAUCGAGAUCCAAAAGCUCAAAUUAUAGAAAACCUAAGUUCUACCCAAAACCCAAAAUUCCCAUUUUUGAAAAUAUUUGAUUGAAGUAAAAAUUAUGUUAAAAGAUGUUAAGGAAUAGGAAAAUUAGGUUAUAAAUCACUUACCAAUCAUUUUGGAGAAGAAAUGUUAUUUAGAAAAUAGCCUCUUAGGUUUUGGGUUUGUGAGGAAAGACUAAAAAGAAAAAAGGAAGCUUUCGACGGACACAAGCCCUCGGGACUUGACACUUGGACACAGUGGAAAAUGGCUGAAAUUUCAAAUUUAUAUACUUUUGGGAUGGGCUGGUGCGGACUGCACAAAAACGCACCACGACCGCACUGAGAGGGAAGAAAAAUGAGGCUCUCCGAACCUACCCAGGCGGAACCCACAAGAAGUGACACGACCGCGCGGCCCCCAGUGCGGACCUCAUGGAAAUGUUCGCGGCCGCACUGGUGGAAAUGGAACUACCCGCCCUCGGAGACCCAGCCAGGCGGACCACAAAAGAAGGGACGCGGCGGCGGGGUCCCCAUACGGACCGCAUGGAAAUGGUUUACGGCCGCACUGGUGUCUGCAACCCUGAACCUGAUAUUUUUCCUAAGUUUAAAAUAUCCCAAACCACCUCCAAAACACACCCGAGCCCUCAGAGCUCUAAACCAAACAUGUGCACUGACUUGAAAACAUUAUACGAACUUACUAAUGUGAUCAAGUUUCCAAAAUAGCACCAUUUACAUAGAAUUAAGCCUCAAAAUCAUAAUUUCGCUCUUUAACACUUGAAACUCAAAGUUUCCAUUUUCAAGUACGAAACACGUCAAACGAAGUCCGAUUCAAAUGAAACUUCACAGAUAGUGCUUAACAAUUAUUUAUGACUUGUACCGGGUGUUGGAACCAAAAUACGAGCUCGAUACCAUUACCUUUUACACAUUUUUCUAAUUUAUUUUCCUUAAAAAUUCACAUGAAUCAAUUAAGCUGAAAAAUUACUUUUCUCGGGCCUGGGACCUCGGAUUCCGAUUUCGGAAAUACGCCAGGGUCCCAAAUUUAAUUACGGACCCUCUGAGACAAUCACAUCACGGGUCUGGGUCAGUUUAACCAAAACGUUGACCAAAGUAAACCAUAGCAAUAUUAUUUUCAAAAUUCAUAGUUUUUAACACGGAAUUCAAAUAUUUUCAUAUAAAAAAUUCCCGGCUUCGCGCCCGCAUUGCGCACGCAAAUCAAGGCAACCCUAUAAGAGGUUUUCAAGGCCUCGGAAACAAAAGAAAAGAGAGAAUUGCGGUGAUGACCCUCUGGGUCAUCACACCUAAUCACCCCUUCACUGAUACAACUCCAUAUAUUCUAUCAUGUGGAUAAAAAGAAUACAUUAGAAGAACCAAAUAUAUCAAAACACAAACACACACAAAAAUAAUAUACAUAUACAUAUUCUGAAGUUUAAUACCAGUAAAUUAUUAAACCAAACACUCUAUUUUAAAAGAAAUCAAACAUUAAUUAAAGGGUUUUGAAGUUUAAUACUAGUAAAUUGUUAAACCAAACACUCUAUUUUAAAAGAAAUCAAACAUUAAUGAAAGAGAAAUUUGAAAUAGAAUUAGAGAUAAUGUGUGUCCCCUGAACUCACCAGAGAAGUCGUAACGGUGCUGGGAUCGACGAAACAUGGCAAUGGCUUGAGCGAACUGGAAGAGAUUCAGAUGAACGAAAAAAUUAAACUAGAAAGUGAAAAAAACUCACAGUAUGAGAAGAAAGAGAGAGAGGGGUGUUAUCGAUGAGCAGCAGAGAAAACAAUUAUACAAACAGUAAUAUAAACAUCUAUCAUUGUUCAUGUGUAUAGGUAGUUGAAUGGAUUAUCUGUUAAGAAAACGAAUCUUAUUAUGCUAUCAACCAAUAUGAGACACUUUAGUCUUAAGUUCUCUUUUAAGCCUAACUAUAGAAGAUAUUCAUGGUUCUGAUGGUUAUUCGAAAUUGAUUCUUGCUUAGGGGUAGCAUGAUCCACAGACAAAAAUGAAAAAACUAAAAAGGAAAAAUAACAAAUUUAGGAGAACACAACGAAGAACAUUGCUCUAAAAUAAGAGGAACACAGAAACAGGUAAGCACAAUACUCAGAUAAACAUUUUCGUGCACCAUGAGAACAAUAAUACAAAUAGUUUUCGUGAUUUACCUUCAGAAAUUUGGGGAGAGAUGGGUUAUCGGCGAGGAGCAGAGAGAAGGAGGGGUUAUCGGCGAGCAGAGAGACAGGAAAUUGGGGAAAUAGGGUUCGAAUGUGAAAUAUUAGAUUAAUAUUAGUGACCAC
rnacentral:lncRNA from 1 species